CAGCCGCCACGGGAAUACAGAGGGUGCGAGCGUUAAUCGGAUUUACUGGGCGUAAAGCGUGCGUAGGCGGCUUCUUUAGUCGGAUGUGAAAUCCCUGAGCUUAACUUAGGAAUUGCAUUCGAUACUGGGAAGCUAGAGUAUGGGAGAGGAUGGUAGAAUUCCAGGUGUAGCGGUGAAAUGCGUAGAGAUCUGGAGGAAUACCGAUGGCGAAGGCAGCCAUCUGGCCUAAUACUGACGCUGAGGUACGAAAGCAUGGGGAGCAAACAGGAUUAGAUACCCCCGUAGUCCCUGUCUCUUAUAC
rnacentral:rRNA from 1 species